GGAAAAGCUGAGAUCUCUCUUUAGUGAACACAGCUCAUCUGGAACUCAGCAUGCUUCUGUCUCCCUAGAGACACCUUUAGUAGUAGAGACGACUGUCACACCGGGCAUCACUACCACUGCUGUAGCACCAAGUAAACUCAUGACUUCCACUACAAGUACUUGCUUACCACCAACCAGUUUACCAUUAGGAGCAGCUGGCAUGCCAGUUAUGCCAGUAGGCACACCUGGGCAGGUUUCUACCCCAGGCACACACGCUUCAGCCCCAGUCGGCACUGCAACAGGAGUAAAACCUGGAACAACUCCCCCAAAGCCAACUAAGACUGUGGUAAGAGUCAUCAUACAAUGACUAAAUAAAUAUGAUUACUUUUCUUUCCUCUCAAUAAUUACAUGUUUUCAGCUGAGUCUUGCAAGUUAUGAAGGUGCCUGGCAUAUAAACUCGUCUCUCAGUCUUAAAGUGACAACAGUUUUAGGAUCUAAGUAUAGGUAACACAAGAAUGUUCUCUUAGUUUGGAAUGUGGCUAGAUUUUUAGGUUAUAUUGAACAGUUUUCUUAGAAUGUAGAAUUAUCAGGUAAAAUAAAUAAUGGUCAAGUAAAAUACAGGUUUUUCCCUGGGUCUUAUGCCUCAUGUCUAUUACCCCAACACUUGAAGACAGAAGGUAGUUACAAGUUACAGGAAAGCCUGGGCACUACAAUGAGUUACAGGCCAGUCUUGGCUAUAGAAUAGGGCUUUGUCUCUAAAUAAAGAAAUAGGAAAGAAAAGAAAAAAAACCAAGGGCUCAGCAUUUAAGAACACUGCUCUUUCAAAUAACCCAAAUUUGGUUCCCAGAAGCCAUGUGCAGAAGACUUAAUAACAACCUCUGGAUCUGACCUCUCCUGGCCUCUGCAGGCAACUGCAUUCAGAAUGCUCAUACUCCCACAAAGACAUGCAUAGAUAUAAAUAGUUUAACAAUAUAAGUCUGUUGAAAAGGACAGGUUAUUUCUACGGGAUUGGUAGAUAUUAAAGAAUUCUACAUCCCAAAAAGGAGCAAAAUGUAUUGACCAAUAAAGGAAUAUUUUAUCAUCUUUUAGUUGAGAAUGAAUAUUCCUUAUUGUAGAUUCCUUUGAUAAAAAUUGGGAGUUAAUAAAAAGUUGAAGUUGGGCUGGAGAGAUGGCUAAGCAGUUAACUUCUAGAGGUCCUGAGUUCGAUUCCUAGAACCACGUGUUGGCUCAUAGCCAUCUGUAAUGGGGUCUGAUGCCCUCUUCUGGUGUGUCUGAAGAGAGUGACAGUGUACUCGUAAACAAUAAAUAAAGUUGGAAGUUGAUAAAAGUGAUUGAAAAUGAAAGAGGAAAUAAUAGCAUUCUAGAAAUCCAAUAAACAGAAACUAUUUAAUUGUGCUGUUGCAGAUGUCCUCUCAUUCUGAUAUCUUCAUCCUCUUUCUGUGCCAAUAGAAUAAUAUAAUUUUAUGCCUUUGUUAUCAGUCAUGACCUUUGUUUAUUUCUAAAUCUGCUUGUUUUCUUUGAAAUGUCUUAUUUAUCUCAUAUGAGCAACUUCAAAAAUUUGUUGGUGGCUCUUUUUUUGGCACUUGAUGCCUGGUGCCCAACAAAGUCAGAAAAGGGCAUCAAAUCCCCUAGAACUGGAGUUUUGAGCCACAAUGUUGAUUCUGGGAACAAAACUUGGGUUCUCUAUAAGAGCAGCUAGUGCUCUUAACUGCUGAGCUGUCUCUUCAGCCCCUAACUGUACUCUUAUCUGUCUACUUAAAAAUUUUGUUCUUUUUGUUUCCCUUCUCAUUGCAUUUUAUCAUUUGUUUCAUAGUUGUUUGAUUGUAACUGUCAUACUAGUGUCUUUGGUAUGUUGUCCUUUAAAACAGACUGAAAAGUGUAAUUUAAAUGCUAUAAGUAGACACAUUUUAGUAUCGUUCUGCUUUUAAAUUAAUUUUUUCUUAGUAUAUAUUUUUUACCAAUGGUAGCUCAUAGACUUGAAUUUUCCUUCAUUAUUAUAGGUGCCACCAGUGGGUACUGAACUUUCAGCCGGUACUGUACCCUGUGAGCAGCUGCCACCUUUUCCUGGACCUUCUCUAAUUCAGGUGCCAGUAACUUAAUAAAUUAUUUUCUUCACCAGAAAAGCCCCUGCUUUUCUUCACCAAAUUUGUGUAAAUUCUCCAUUGUGUUAUUUAUCUUGGCUUCUAGAUCAUUCUGGCUAUGAAUUAGUAAUAACAUUCUUGUAAACUUUUCUUGGCAGGCCUGGCAUGGUGGCACUUGCCUUUAAUCCCAACGUUUAAGGUGGUGUGUUAGUUUCAGGCCAUCCAGGGCUACAUAGUAAGACCCUGCCUCAAACAAAGAAGUUAAUAAUAAACUGUAUCUGGCUAUACUAGUCAGAUGGUGAGCUCUGGAUUAAAAUGAGACACCCUGCCUCUAUAUAAGGUAGAAAGCAAUCAAAGAAGACACUCAAGCUUCUACACACACAGUGUAUAUAAGUGUGGCCCACCACAGCACCACAGACACACAAAUAAAAUGAAACUUAAAAAG
rnacentral:lncRNA from 1 species